AUGUCGUCAUGCUUGCUUCCAAGGGCAAAAUGAUCUUUACUCGAAGUUUUUUUUUCAAUUUUACUACAUGAUGCUUCACCGCCUUAUUCAUCUCUCACUGCAUCUAUUCCCAUCCAUUACUCCACCGCCUCAUCCAUCUCUCAGUCUAUCUAUUGUCAUCCUUUCCAUCAAAUCUUUACUUUUGUAGCUAUUUUGAUUUUCUUUUUCCUAAUUCCGCUUCUCAGCGCUGCAGCUAUUGCUAUGGCUUUUGUUGAAAAUCGUGUUCCUCAAGCUUCCGUUCAACCUAAUAAUAAAUUUGACUUCCAUUUGAUUUCGGUUAAAUAUAUAAAUCAUUUUCGUUUUGCUUUGAUUUGAAUUUAGUUACAAUCUUGUAAGGAAUGAAUUUUGAUAUUAUUUUGUGCUUUACUUUGAUCUAAAUCUGGUUAUUUUUAUAUAUAUAUUUUGGGGAGUUUUACUUUGAGCUUAGAUUAACUUGAUUUUAGGCUUUUCCUGCAGAAUUGUUAGUGAGAUUCAUAGACUCAUAGAUAACAGAGCUUUUGUAUAGUAUUUGUUCCUUGCAUUAAGAAUAGAGAUUGUGUUUCGGUUAUCGUACUAUUUUGGUUACUGUUCGCUUAUUAGUUGCAUGCCUACUUUUCAUAUAUAUUUGGAUUUUUCUCAGUAAAGCAAAAGGUAAGCUGUUCUCAGAUUUUGUAUUAUGUAUUAUACACAAGUUCCUUUCGUGGGUAUCCAAUUCUUGGAGAAAUUUUCCAUUUUAAUACCAGCCUUGGACGCUGCCUGCAAACUAUUCGCUGAUAUGCCUAAACCAAUUUUGCUUCUUCAAUAGUUAAAUACUUAUCGGCAUUUUAGACUUGGACAUCAUGCAGAAUAAGCUGAAUCAGCCUUCUUUGCAGCCAAGAAAUUCCUAGGUGCAGUGUGAUGAUUGCCAGAAAUAGAGAAGUAUAACUUUUGUACUUGCUAAUCAAAUUGAAGAAACAAACUGCAAAUGCAGGUUAGGCAUCGAUAAAUAGGACUUAAAGGGAAGUCUCUCAACUACUCAGCGGUGUUUGGAGUGUUUACGCUAGGUGAUUUAUUUCCAUAUUCCCAAGCACCGAUGGACAAAGUAAUCCGGUGUCCUGUUGAAAAUAGUGAACUUUCCAAUGUUCCUCCAUUAAAGAGGCCAUUUCUCUCCCUGAGAGUGAUGUUAAUACUAAGAAGUAGGAGUGAUUCGUCCCUCCAUCCACCUUGCAAAAACUACCUCAAAAACCUAUACACAAACAGAAAAACGAAAACGCAAACGUCAAUCAUGGAAAACUUUUGGUUAUAUGGCCCAUCUGGAACAGUAAAGUCGUACCUUGUCUAGCAAAAGUUACUGCGACAGAAGCGGAUUCAACUUUUCCCAGGUCAGUAAUAAAAAAAAGUACAAGAACUAAAUAAAGUGAGAGCUCAAGCCGCACUUGGAUCACAUGUUAUUUCUGCCGCCAUACCAGAUGAUGGAUCUUUGUGGGUUUGGGGAAGUUCUAAGUGUGGGCAACUUGAUUUUGACAAAUACUACUAUUUAGAAUUUUCUUUUUUUCCGAGUGUAGUUGUCAAUUCAUAUGGUACUGGAAAAUGACAGAUCUCGUAGUUGUCAAUUCAUAUGGUACUGGCAAAUGGCAGAUCUCAUUGGAUUGGGGUCAUGCUCUCGCGCUAACUAAGAGGAACUUACUGAAACUCAUUUGAUGGAUUUUCUCAAGCGAUCAUGCUAUAUAUUUGUCUGAUACAAAUAAUAGCUACAUCAUUAUUAUUGGGCCCGCACUAGCGCGGGCUUCGCCAUCUAGUACCUUUUAUAAUUGUAACCAUUGUCACUUUUUUUUAUUUCGA